rnacentral:lncRNA from 1 species
CUAGCUUGUAUUGCAUGAUGACCACUUGUAAACUGGUAUCUCAAGCGUCUGUGCUACUCUUAUCCACAAUGUUGAAAUUCCGUCUGUGUUUUUGGUCACUUUCAGUAAACUUUUCUUUGCUUUUUGUUGGUAGGCGAUUCUGUUUAAAAGAUUAAAAUAUGGUUUCAAAAGACCGUAAGAAACCUACUGGAUCUCCAAAAGUACAAGUUGGGGAGAUAGAUACAAGUGCACCAUUUCAGUCUGUCAAAGAUGCUGUUAACUUGUUUGGGGAAGGUGCAUUCUCAGGGGAAAAACCUGCAAUCAGGAAGCCAAGACCUCAGUCCGCAGAGGUAAAUAAUACUGUGGUUCAAAAUGUAUAUCGUUAUCCUGAAUGGAGAAGCUUGGUGUUUUUAUUAUGACAUUUUUUAUUUUUUUUUGAUAAAAGUUAAAGUUGUAUUCUUCAGCAUUAAGGGUAUGCUGGCUACCUCCAAAAAGUUACAAGCUGACACCAUAAUUACAUAGAUCCUAGGAAAUCUACCAACUGUUCUACUUCUUCUAUACCAUCUUCUUUACACCAAAAAAACAACAUGUUAAUGCAAUUUUCUUUAACUUUCUGAAUAGAGUUAGUAAUAUUCUCAUGACACCUAAGGUUUCUUUCUCUCCAAAUAGCCCACCAGACACAAGUAGGUACUAUAGACCACCAUCUUUUUUGGGUCUUGCUCCCCCCCCCCUCCUCAUCCAGCAGCUCAAGAGAUCAGCAGUGUUUUUAUUAUGACAUUUUAUCUGCAUUGUUUGUGUUAAACAUUCGUUUUAUGAUUAAGAUUGAAUUAAUACCUUAUUGAGCUUUCUUCUCCCUCUCCUAUUUCCAAGAUCGAAACAAAGAAAAGUUGGAGAAUGGACAUCUAAGCAAAGUUUCCUUUUGUCUAACAAAUACUUGUAAUUUGUCUUUUACAUCAAGUAAGUCAUGUUGUCAUAGAAAUUUGUGCGUGCAUGCAUCUCCAUCUAUUCAUCGAACUUUUUUCUGGUGUAUGUGUCUUUGAAGCAUCUUCUUUCUUUGAUUAUUCAAAUGUUUUCACAUGGUGUUUAAUGACUUCGAAGUGUUCAUAAUUAUUUGGUGCUUCAUUUUAUAGUUUCAGAACUUUUUCACUAAAUGGUAAAUACGCUCAUACUUGAGUCUUUUGAGUACUGAAUGUAACAUGUAAUCAGGUGCUCUCAGGAGUGCAUGAAUGCAAAAGUAUUUACACCUAAGGAUUGGUUAGUGUUCUGAGACAGCAAUAAAAUAGCCUCACCUAAGUACCCUUAUCUUGUCUUGAUUUCAGAGGGUACUGGCAAAGGAAACACAGCUUCACUUAGCCCAGAAAGAGCUGAACAAGUUGAAGGAACAGUUGAAAAAUGCAGAAACCACUAGAGCCCAAGCACUUACUGAGCUCGAAAGGGCAAAACGGACCGUUGAUGACCUCACCAAAAAGCUUAAAAUUGUUUGCGAGUCAAAGGAUUUGGCUGUCAAGGCGACAGAAGCAGCAAAGAGUCAGGUGAACCAACUUGAAGCACCAAAUGAUGGCUCUGUUAUGGGGAAGGAUGGUUCUUGGAAAGUGGAUCUGGAAACUGCAAGAGAAAAGUAUAUGGCUGAAAUAGCUGAUCUUGAUAAAGCAAAACAAGAGCUGAGGAAAAUCCGCCAGGAUUGCAAUACAUUUAUGGAAGAAAAAACUGGCGCUAUUGAGCAGGCAGCAGAAGCUGAGCGUACUGCCAAAGCAAAUAUGGAAAGAGCUAGUGAGCUCUCCAAGGAAAUAGCAGCUGUCCACGAGUCGGUUGAUCAACUAAAACUUGCUUGUGUGCAGGAGCAGGAAGAGGAGGCAAAGAUUUAUGCUGAAAAGAAUGUCCAGAAGCAGUCCUACAAGGCUAAACUUGAAGAGUCAGCAGAGAAGUUACUUGCUUUGAAGAAAGAGACUGAUGCAGAUUUAGCCAAGAGUCUUGAAGCACAGUUAGCUGAAACAAUGUCUGAAAUUGAAGCUUUGAGGAAAGAAAUGGACAGUGCGAAGUCUUCUGACCUUGAUACGGUGAAAGUUGUCACUGCAGAGCUGGAUGAUGCUAAGGACUCACUACUUAAGGUCGCAGAAGAAGAGAGUACUCUCCAAACCUUGGUGGAGACCCUUAAACUGGACCUGGAGAAUGUCAAGAAAGAACAUUCUGAUCUGAAGGAGAAGGAGGCAGAGACAGAAUCACUUG